CCUACGGGAGGCAGCAGUGGGGAAUUUUCCGCAAUGGGCGAAAGCCUGACGGAGCAAUACCGCGUGAGGGAAGAAUGCCUACGGGUUGUAAACCUCUUUUAUCAGGGAGGAACAAAAUGACGUGUACCUGAUGAAUAAGCAUCGGCUAACUCUGUGCCAGCAGCCGCGGUAAGACAGAGGAUGCAAGUGUUAUCCGGAAUUACUGGGCGUAAAGCGUCUGUAGGUUGUUUAACAAGUCAACUGUUAAAUCUUGAAGCUUAACUUCAAAAUCGCAGUCGAAACUGUUAAACUAGAGUAUAGUAGAGGUAAAGGGAAUUUCCAGUGGAGCGGUGAAAUGCGUAGAUAUUGGGAAGAACACCGAUGGCGAAAGCACUUUACUGGGCUAUUACUGACACUCAGAGACGACAGCUAGGGUAGCAAAUGGGAUUAGAUACCCCAGUAGUCCUAGCCGUAAACUAUGGAUACUAGAUGUUGAACAGAUCGACCUGUGCAGUAUUAAAGCUAACGCGUUAAGUAUCCCGCCUGGGAAGUAUGCUCGCAAAGAGUAGAACUNAAANAGAUAGACGCGNGAGAGNGCGAGACGACGACGAGGGAGAGG
rnacentral:rRNA from 1 species